rnacentral:rRNA from 1 species
GAUGAACGCUGGCGGCGUGCUUAACACAUGCAAGUCGAACGGGAAACCUUUUAUUGAAGCUUCGGCAGAUUUAGCUGGUUUCUAGUGGCGGACGGGUGAGUAACGCGUGGGUAACCUGCCUUAUACAGGGGGAUAACAACCAGAAAUGGUUGCUAAUACCGCAUAAGCGCACAGGACCGCAUGGUCCGGUGUGAAAAACUCCGGUGGUAUAAGAUGGACCCGCGUUGGAUUAGCUAGUUGGCAGGGUAACGGCCUACCAAGGCGACGAUCCAUAGCCGGCCUGAGAGGGUGAACGGCCACAUUGGGACUGAGACACGGCCCAGACUCCUACGGGAGGCAGCAGUGGGGAAUAUUGCACAAUGGGGGAAACCCUGAUGCAGCGACGCCGCGUGAAGGAAGAAGUAUCUCGGUAUGUAAACUUCUAUCAGCAGGGAAGAUAGUGACGGUACCUGACUAAGAAGCCCCAGCUAACUACGUG